rnacentral:tRNA from 1 species
GGCUCCGUGGCGCAAUGGAUAGCGCAUUGGACUUCUAGUCAUGCAUUGAGUUGGCAUUCAAAGGUUGUGGGUUCGAGUCCCACCGGAGUCG